rnacentral:rRNA from 1 species
AUUGAACGCUGGCGGCAGGCCUAACACAUGCAAGUCGAACGGUAACAGAAAGCAGCUUGCUGCUUUGCUGACGAGUGGCGGACGGGUGAGUAAUGUCUGGGAAACUGCCUGAUGGAGGGGGAUAACUACUGGAAACGGUAGCUAAUACCGCAUAACGUCGCAAGACCAAAGAGGGGGACCUUCGGGCCUCUUGCCAUCGGAUGUGCCCAGAUGGGAUGAGCUAGUAGGUGGGGUAACGGCUCACCUAGGCGACGAUCCCUAGCUGGUCUGAGAGGAUGACCAGCCACACUGGAACUGAGACACGGUCCAGACUCCUACGGGAGGCAGCAGUGGGGAAUAUUGCACAAUGGACGCAAGCCUGAUGCAGCCAUGCCGCGGGUAUGAAGAAGGCCUUAGGGUUGUAAAGUACUUUCAGCGGGGAGGAAGGGAGUAAAGUUAAUACCUUUGCUCAUUGACGUUACCCGCAGAAGAAGCACCGGCUAACUCCGUG